GCUACUAUCUAGAUCUACUCUAGUUUAGAGAAGAGAGGAGAGCUCUCAUCUCUAAACCCUAGCUUUUGCUCUGUCUAUGAAUAAUGAAUAAUCAUCAAGGGGGUUGCCUCCUCCAGGGGCCAGGGGGUCUGGUUUUAUAGUCCCCUCAAGUGAACCUGGGCCGUCGGAUCAAACCGACAUUGAUUGAACGGUUAUUCUUGAUCCUUUAGGUCGGUGGAGCAUAAUCCGCGAGAUUGAGCGUGAUUGGCUACAGGAGGUGGGCGGGCGCCUAGUAGGACAGGGCGGGCGCCCUGUCUCUGGCCCCGUUUCGCCUCCGCUUCGGUCUCGUGGCUUCUUGAGUCUUCUAGAUGUAAGAUAAUUGCGCAGCACAUUAAUAUCUUUACGUAAUCCUGACAUGUGGGCCUUUCUUCCAUAUUUCCUGAUAACCCCCCUGCAGAAAUAGACAAACACCAAAACUCGUGGAAUUCUGUCAGAUAAAACCCUAAGUCUUGAUGUUGAUUUCAUUUGGAUCCUUUUCUUUGUUUAUUUAAUAGUUAAAUUUGAUACUUAAGGACCGUCAACAAACUCCCCCAAGCUUACCUCUUGCUCGUCCCUAAGCAAGGAUAGACUCAGCUAUGGAUCAUAAGUUGUUGCAAUAUCUUUAAAAAUUGACGGUACACAUGCUUUUAAAUGAGGUCUCAUCUCUGAGUUAGAGUAAACUGUCAAGACUUAAAACUUACUUACUUUACCUUUCACCAUGGGACUUGUAACCGUCACUUCUGUCUUGAGUAGUUAAAAGAUAGAACAGUCUAGCCAAGUGCCAUGUCUCUUAUUCUUGAUCAGCUAUAGCUCUGGAGUUUUUGUAGAUUUUCAAAUAAAACUCAGAGAUUCCUUGUAUGACUCUCUAAAUCUCUCUUUUGUGGUAUUUCUGGAUCCUUACCAAGGCAGUGAUAGUAUAUGCCUUCUCUCAAGAUAUGUGGUAUUUGUGGUAUAAGGCAUAGUGACAUUGCCUUCUCUCUCACCCUACUCUUAAUAAGGCUUUAAUAUCUGGAGCUCAUAGGUGGGAGAUAAAAUAUACAUACUUACAAGACAUUUAUUGUAUAGUCAAACCAUGGAUCCAAAGAAACAAAUCAAUAAGCCAAAUCAAGAUGUGCAUGUGUGGCCAAUGAAUAGUGUAUGGUGAUGAUGGUGAUAACAAUGGUGAAAGUCUAAUUCUACUUUUGCUCUUAUGAGGGGAUACAUACAUUCCUUGCUUUUUGAAACUUUAUAAGGAGAAUGAGAUGCUCUUCUUUUUCUUUUCUCUCAGAUGGGUAUCCUGUACCCCUAAUUCUACUGUCGGACACUUGUCCAUUUUUACCUCUCGUCUUACUUUUUUUUUCUUUCGAGGUUCCGGGCACUUGCCCCUUUUUAUUUCCUCGUUUAUUAUUUUUUUCUUUUCUUUUUUUUUCAGAGAACUCAUAUCUUGAGAUAAUAUAGCAAGUGGUAGUAGCAAGAUAACUUGAGCAUUUAUUUCACAAGGAAAAAACACAGAUGUUUUUGGCUAUUCUCUACCGAAUUAGGAGUAGAAUAUUUUUAGGUGAUUCUGGAGAUAGAAAUGGAUGGAUAUAUGUGGAUGGUACUUCCAGAGUAGAAGUAGCAUAUAUAUGAGUGAACGUGCAAGUGAAUCUUGAUUUAAUCACAUGACAAGCUCCUAAGGGUCUGCACAGCUUGACCACACUCAAUGCUCAUAACCAGUAAAUAAUAAAUGUGUGGCUCAAAGUCUAGCAAGCAUGUAUAUAUGGCUGUGGUAGGAAUUUAAACUCUCAUCAUACAGGAACUCAUCAUGCAACAUUUUAAAGAUUUUCAAAGAUAAAAUUCUCCAGAGUUCUAGCAUUUCUAGGAACAGAUAAACUGCAGCUCAACCUUCCUAUAUCUUAUCCGUUAACAAGAUCAAGAUUUCAUCCCACAAGUUUAGAUCUAGAGCAAGCUUUAAAUUAUAACAGUUAUGUCUAAACUUGAGAGAGAACUUUAAAUUUGCAAAUUAGGCAGAGCAACUAUUCAUCAUAUCCAUGCUAGAGUUUUUAUAGUUUAUGUAUUUUAAUAUUCUAAUAUAAUAUAAGUAUAAAGAUAGGUAGAAAUACUUAGCGAGAUAAAUAGGGGUGCUCUCCCCCAAGCUGAAUUUUGACGUAAUAUCUCUUGAUGUAGCUAGCAGGUGGCAGAGGUGUAUUUGAAAGGCAACAGCAUUCUGACAGCGAUUAGAAUGUCCUCCGUCUACUAGUCUUCUUGAUUCUUAAAUUCUGUGGAGCUCAAAUAGACAACAAAUCUUGUGGAACUAAUUAAGUGUUAGCAUAAAUAUCUAGCCUUCAUCACGUUGAGCUUCCUUAAUAAAUAUUACUCCCUGUUUUUAUAUUUUUAUUUUAUAAAGUAGAAAAGAAAUAUUUAUUUUAUUUUUAUGGCACCACAGUGAAGGUACUUAUGGGUUUUAUGCCACUCGUAUACUCACAUGGGGCUUAGUAUUUUUUAACAUUUUUAUUUUCUUUUCAAGAUAGCAUGAUUAACUAAUAAUCUAUUUAAGGAAAGUAAAUAAUUAAAUGGAAAAGGGAAUGCAGAAAGGAUAAAUAUGGAUAACUACCAAUCUUACCUUUCGGCGAGGGUUCAAUGUUUUAAGUCUUCUUGUCAAGACUUCUCAUCGUGUUCAUUCUUUAGGUGCGUCAUUUGAUUCAGGUGCAGACCUUGACGUCUGCACCUUUUAAUAUGGUGUCACCCAUGUUCUUCGUUUGCCCAGCAGUUCGAAGUGCGGUGUUAGCAGUAUCUUGCUCAGUGUGUUUGUGCUCGUAGUGUACCUGCUCAUAGAGACAAGGCAGAGAUCAAGUGCAUGGGCCCUGUUGGUGGAAAACACCAACAGAACCAAAAGUGUAUUUGUUCUUCUCUAACCUUAAGCAUAGUGAGCAAGACAAGUUGAUGGAUGAUAAGUUCAUGAGUGUAGCACUUAUAACAUUUGUCAGAUCAGAUCGCUCAACCUUAUGGAAAGAUAAUCUAUCUAUGUAUAUGUCUUUUUCUUUAUAUCUCUCAAUGAUUGAAUGUGUAACAUUUUAGCUCAUAUGCUUAGGAGUGUGGGAUCAUGGAAGUAGUACUAAGAACAAGGAUUAAAGGACUAAACAUGUUGAAUCAGUUGGGUUGGUUAAUCUAGAGUUGUAAAUCAUACACGUUUAUCUCUUUUAUUUAUAUGAACGCCAGAACCAAGGAGAAGCUUAUAAAAGUGAUAGUCAAGUACCUUAGGAUGUUACCUUGCUUGAAAAGUGAUGGUACAGUAUCACCUUGUGGAAGCUUUCCUUUCUUAGCGGUUGUGCAUCGUGUUCGUGGCACCCUCCAUGGAUCAUUUCUCUAUGAUGAAUGAGCUAUGUCCUUCUUGUGCAAAUUGUUAAACUUCAUGUGUCACUCUCUUCGUCUCUGAUGUGAGUUUAUCUCAGGACUUCCCAAAUCGAUAUUGAAAGUUUUUCUGCAGUGGUUAGUCCGACAAAAUAUACCAAUAUCUACUCAAGCAGUUUUUUUUUAGUUCAAUAACCAAACUAGACUCCAUGUCUAAUCAGAUUAAGGAAGGCUAUUUAACCUAAGCACCAUGCUUAAUUUAAAUGCCAAUGGAAGUAUGACGAGUACUUCCAAACCAACACUUGCUAGUAAAUAGACAAAGGUAGCAUGACAGCAUUUAUAGAGAUCUACUCAAGUGGAGAUGAAGUAGUGUGAUUAGUAUUUCACAAAUUGAGCAUGUCUCAAAGGUAGG
rnacentral:lncRNA from 1 species